rfam:Triticum aestivum genome assembly, contig: Triticum_aestivum_CS42_TGACv1_scaffold_528447_6DL
GAGAUACUCCCUCUGUCCGGAAAUACUUGUCGGAGAAAUGCAUAAAAAUGAAUGUAUCUAUAACUAAAAUAUGUCUAGAUAUAUUUAUUUCUCCGACGAGUAUUUCCGGACGGAGGGAGUACAUU